rnacentral:rRNA from 1 species
UGGGGAAUAUUGGACAAUGGGCGCAAGCCUGAUCCAGCAAUGCCGCGUGUGUGAAGAAGGCCUUCGGGUUGUAAAGCACUUUUAUCAGGAGCGAAACGCUGUCGGCUAAUACCCGGCGGAACUGACGGUACCUGAGGAAUAAGCACCGGCUAACUUCGUGCCAGCAGCCGCGGUAAUACGAAGGGUGCAAGCGUUAAUCGGAAUUACUGGGCGUAAAGCGUGCGUAGGCGGUUUCUUAAGUCUGCUGUGAAAUCCCCGGGCUCAACCUGGGAAUGGCAGUGGAUACUGGGAGGCUAGAGUGUGUCAGAGGGUGGUGGAAUUCCCGGUGUAGCGGUGAAAUGCGUAGAGAUCGGGAGGAACAUCAGUGGCGAAGGCGGCCACCUGGGACAACACUGACGCUGAGGCACGAAAGCGUGGGGAGCAAACAGGAUUAGAUACCCUGGUAGUCCACGCCCUAAACGAUGCGAACUGGAUGUUGGUCUCAACUCGGAGAUCAGUGUCGAAGCUAACGUGUUAAGUUCGCCGCCUGGGGAGUACGGUCGCAAGACUGAAACUCAAAUGAAUUGACGGGGUCAUAGCUGUUUCCUG